rnacentral:misc_RNA from 1 species
AACGCACAUUGCGCCCUCUGGUAUUCCGGGGGGCAUGCCUGUUCGAGCGUCAUUAUAACCACUCAAGCUCUCGCUUGGUAUUGGGAUUCGCGAUCUCGCGGUCCCUAAAACCAGUGGCGGUGCCUGUCGGCUCUACGCGUAGUAAUCUCUCUCGCGAUUGAGUCCGGCGGGUCUGCUCGCCAGCAAACCCCUAAAUUUUCAGGUUGACCUCGGAUCAGGUAGGGAUACCCGCUGAACUUAA